rnacentral:rRNA from 1 species
UACGUAGGGUGCAAGCGUUAUCCGGAAUUAUUGGGCGUAAAGAGCUCGUAGGCGGUUUGUCACGUCUGCUGUGAAAACUGGAGGCUCAACCUCCAGCCUGCAGUGGGUACGGGCAAACUAGAGUGCGGUAGGGGAGAUUGGAAUUCCUGGUGUAGCGGUGGAAUGCGCAGAUAUCAGGAGGAACACCGAUGGCGAAGGCAGAUCUCUGGGCCGUAACUGACGCUGAGGAGCGAAAGCGUGGGGAGCGAACAGG